GACGUAGGUGGCGAACGUUAUCCGGAAUCAUUGGGCGUAAAGGGUGCGUGGAUGGCAUGAUAAGUUAUUAGUGGGAAAUCGAGGCUCAACCUCGUGGAAGCUAGUAAUACUGUUUUGCUUGAGUACAGAAGAGGUUAACGGAACUCCAUGUGGAGCGGUAAAAUGCGUAGAUAUAUGGAAGAACACCAAUAACGGCGAAGGCAGUUAACUAUUCUGUUACUGACAUUGAGGCACGAAAGCGUGGGGAGCAAAACGG
rnacentral:rRNA from 1 species